UACGUAGGGGGCAAGCGUUGUCCGGAUUUAUUGGGCGUAAAGAGCGUGUAGGCGGCCAUGUAGGUCCGUUGUGAAAACUCGAGGCUCAACCUCGAGACGCCGAUGGAAACCAUGUGGCUAGAGUCCGGAAGAGGAGAGUGGAAUUCCUGGUGUAGCGGUGAAAUGCGUAGAUAUCAGGAAGAACACCCGUGGCUAAGGCGGCUCUCUAGUACGGUACUGACGCUGAGACGCGAAAGCGUGGGGAGCGAACAGG
rnacentral:rRNA from 1 species